rnacentral:rRNA from 1 species
AUUGAACGCUGGCGGCAGGCCUAACACAUGCAAGUCGAAUGGUAACAGGAAACAGCUUGCUGUUUCGCUGACGAGUGGCGGACGGGUGAGUAAUGUCUGGGAAACUGCCUGAUGGAGGGGGAUAACUACUGGAAACGGUAGCUAAUACCGCAUAACGUCGCAAGACCAAAGAGGGGGACCUUCGGGCCUCUUGCCAUCAGAUGUGCCCAGAUGGGAUUAGCUAGUAGGUGGGGUAACGGCUCACCUAGGCGACGAUCCCUAGCUGGUCUGAGAGGAUGACCAGCCACACUGGAACUGAGACACGGUCCAGACUCCUACGGGAGGCAGCAGUGGGGAAUAUUGCACAAUGGGCGCAAGCCUGAUGCAGCCAUGCCGCGUGUAUGAAGAAGGCCUUCGGGUUGUAAAGUACUUUCAGCGGGGAGGAAGGGAGUAAAGUUAAUACCUGUGCUCAUUGACGUUACCCGCAGAAGAAGCACCGGCUAACUCCGUG